ACGUAGGGGGCGAGCGUUAUCCGGAAUUACUGGGUGUAAAGGGUACGUAGGCGGAUUUGUAAGUUGGGUGUAAAAACUCAGGGCUUAAACUUGAGCUUGUGCCCAAUACUGCAAGUCUAGAGAGCAGGUGAGUGAAGCCGAAUUCCCGGUGUAGAGGUAGAAUCCGUAGAUAUCGGGAGAAACACAAGUGGCGAAUGCGGCUUCCUGGACUGUCUCUGACGCUCAUGCUCGACAACGUGGGGAGCAAACAG
rnacentral:rRNA from 1 species